GAUGAACGCUGGCGGCGUGCCUAAUACAUGCAAGUCGAGCGAACAGAUGAGGAGCUUGCUCCUCUGACGUUAGCGGCGGACGGGUGAGUAACACGUGGAUAACCUACCUAUAAGACUGGGAUAACUUCGGGAAACCGGAGCUAAUACCGGAUAAUAUAUUGAACCGCAUGGUUCAAUAGUGAAAGACGGUUUUGCUGUCACUUAUAGAUGGAUCCGCGCCGCAUUAGCUAGUUGGUAAGGUAACGGCUUACCAAGGCAACGAUGCGUAGCCGACCUGAGAGGGUGAUCGGCCACACUGGAACUGAGAUACGGUCCAGACUCCUACGGGAGGCAGCAGUAGGGAAUCUUCCGCAAUGGGCGAAAGCUUGACGGAGCAACGCCGCGUGAGUGAUGAAGGUCUUCGGAUCGUAAAACUCUGUUAUUAGGGAAGAACAAAUGUGUAAGUAACUAUGCACGUCUUGACGGUACCUAAUCAGAAAGCCACGGCUAACUACGUG
rnacentral:rRNA from 1 species